rnacentral:rRNA from 1 species
GCUUGGUCAUUUAGAGGAAGUAAAAGUCGUAACAAGGUUUCCGUAGGUGAACCUGCGGAAGGAUCAUUAACAAGUAAUGAGGCCCUCGGGUCUACAUUUGCCCGGCCGCAAGGCUGAGGAGUGAGUGGAGAAGGAUGUUGCGUGUGCGGGCUGGGGAGACGUCAGUCGAACCGCUCGGUGCUGCCCGUCCCUCCCUCAAUAUAUACGCGUGUUUGUGUGACUGUUUUGAUGCCAAUACAAUAAUAGACAACUUUUAACAAUGGAUCUCUUGGCUCUUGCAACGAUGAAGAACGCAGUGAAAUGCGAAAUGUAAUGCGAUUUGCAUGAAUCUGUGAGUCAUCAAGUCUUUGAACGCACCUUGCACUCUUGGCGCAAGUCAAGAGUAUACCUGUUUGAGAAUUGUAUCCUUUUCACUCUUCUUCUAGAGUGGAUGUGACGGUUGAGAUGGCGAGAGCCGUGUCUCUCCGUUUAAAAGGAGUAGAGAGGCGAGCAUCUUGUAGCUUGGGCUCCGUGUGCCAGAGACCACUUUGGUCUACUCACAGAGCCCGGGCUGCAGUUUGGUCACUUAAGCCUCCCUUCAAACCCCCCUUUCUUAUAAUCUCAAAUCAGGUAAGGCUACCCGCUGAACUUAAGCAUAUCAAUAAGCGGAGGA